AAACAUUUGAGUCAGAACAUAGGAAUUAAUCAAAGGGGUGUUGCUUAACUAUAAUUUACAAUGAUUUCCAAUAGAUAGAUGGAUGUGUGGCCUAUAAACCUCUUUCUAAGUGAAUACCUACCUCACCCUAAAGGGAUUGUGAUCAAGUUUUCUUGCAAGUUAUCAAGUAUUUGCAAUCCUGUGAAACAUGUUGAGGUGCCUAUUCACUAAGAAAUAGGUUUCAAAUGGGAA